ACAAAAAAAUGAAAAAAAAUCUUCCGUUGCGGGGAAUCGAACCCCGGCCUUAUGGGUGAGAGCCAUAAAUCCUAACCACUAGACCACAACGGAGCGUGGGAAAAUGG
rnacentral:tRNA from 1 species